AGAUGUUCCUUGAUUUAUAACAACAAAGUCUUAAUGUAAUUUUCUUAGGAAUAAACUAAACCAGUUCGUGUAAAAUUUAUUUUCAAUUUAUGGGUAUUUUGAAGCUCCUUGUUUUUACGAUUUUGUUACUGAUAUGCAAAGACGAGACUGGAGCUUUUACAAUUUCUGAGGUGGACGACAGUCGAUUCGAUGGAAAACGAUGGUUGUUAGAAAAAUGGUCUCCUUCAGCAGGGUGGCGGGAAAACACCCACAGAGGAAUCAUAGCUUGGUAUUCAUCAACCAAAGGAAUUACUACAGGUAUUAAUUCAGACGAAAACCUGAUGGUGAAACAACUGGAGGUUCUGACACUAGCAUCUCUUUUGAGAAAUGAAACGGAUCCUCUAACUGCAAAUCAGCUCAGUAUGUACAUUAAUGCUAUGAUUGUGACCUGUCAAAAUCUUCGCAACUUCUAUGGAUUUGACUUGUUGAAGUUACUGAAAGAGGAAAUUGAAACUUCUUCUAUAGCAACUCAUCCUGUGGCUUAUCUCGCCCUCUGCAAUACCGGUGAAACCUUGCAAAUAAAUGCAAUCAGUGAUCUGUGCAUCGUUUUAAAUGAUAACUGGAAUUAUCCUUUUUUCCUAGAAGUUCAGGCAGCAGCUGUCAUGGCUCUCUCCUGCAUUCGAACCAGUCAGCAAGAUGUUUAUGCCCACUGUACUGAUUAUGAUCCAACUAUAAAAAAAUUCAAGCAGCUUCAGCUCGAAGAUGGAAGCUUUGGAAAUAUCUACACUACUGCAAUUGUUACCCAAGCACUUCUUUCAGCUGGUGAAGGAAAUAGCAAAGAUUGGAAACUUAAUGCAGCAGUCAAGUAUUUAACGACGCAUUUAAAUUCAUCUAUCGACUUUCUGGCUAUGUAUUUGAUUCUGCCGGUUUUAAACAGGAAAAGCUUAUCAGAUGUGAGAAACAUAAACUGCUCUAUUGAUCUGCGACAUAAAUCGAAAGGCGAUUCUGCCCCCGAUGUGAGAAAUAAGCUCGUCUCUCAAAUGCGUGUGCGAUAUACUGUAUACAUUGGCGACAAAAAGGAUAGAGCUUCCUCCAUAACCCUUCGAACGCCCGAAAACAUCACUGUAUUUCAGACCAUGCAACUAGCAGAAAAAGCAGACUCCAAAUACAAAUUUUAGUGGAAAAAAAUGGGAGAAAAAAUGUACGUCUACGAUAUAGCAGGCGUGAAAAACGAUUUUGAAGAUGGAUUGUUUUGGAUGCUGUAUAUUAGAAAAAAUGGUACUUUAGCAUUUGGAAUCAAAACAAGUCCCGAUAAAUUCAUUGUACGAGACGGAUGGCAAGUAAUUAUGUGGUACAAGAAGUUUAAUAUUCGAGUAUUGAAACAACACUGACAUCGAUUUGUUUUUGAAAUAUUAUUCGAAGUCUUUCUAUACAAUUAGAAAUUGUUUAUUUAGUUAAUUUAGAGCUGUUAUAUGGUUAAAUAAGUUAAACAAUUAAUUUGUUGGUGAAACUCGCUAACAUUCUUAGAUUUAAAUACCAGCUUAUAUUUUUGUUCAGAGAGCAAAAUUUCAAACAUUGGAAUUG